rnacentral:tRNA from 1 species
AUUAAUAAGCCAUUCAGGAAUUCAGAACAAUGAUUGGAUAGAUUCUGAUAGCUUUUAUUUGAAUA